CAGUAGCCGCGGUAAUACGGAGGGUGCAAGCGUUAAUCGGAAUUACUGGGCGUAAAGCGCACGCAGGCGGUCUGACAAGUCAGAUGUGAAAUCCCCGGGCUUAACCUGGGAACUGCAUUUGAAACUGUCAGGCUGGAGUCUUGUAGAGGGGGGUGGAAUUCCAGGUGUAGCGGUGAAAUGCGUAGAGAUCUGGAGGAAUACCGGUGGCGAAGGCGGCCACCUGGACAAAGACUGACGCUCAGGUGCGAAAGCGUGGGGAGCAAACAGGAUUAGAGACCCCGGUAGUCCCUGUCUCUUAUAA
rnacentral:rRNA from 1 species